CAUGAAGCUGGAAUCGCUAGUAAUCGCGAAUCAGAAUGUCGCGGUGAAUACGUUCCCGGGUCUUGUACACACCGCCCGUCACACCAUGGGAGUCGGAAAUGCCCGAAGUCAGUGACCUAACCGAAAGGGAGGAGCUGCCGAAGGUGGAGCCGGUAACUGGGUGAAGUCGUAACAAGGUAUC
rnacentral:rRNA from 1 species